GUUCUAAUACCAGCCAUUACUUUCUGGACGUGUUAUUUCCUCAGAAUUCCGCUUUCUGCUAGUCAAGUAUUCACAUUUCUGGCAAGUUUGAGGAUUGUUCAGGAGCCAGUUAGGUUGAUCCCUGAUGUUGUGGGAACCUUCAUUGAAGCAAAGGUUUCAUUAGAUCGGAUUGCAACGUUUCUUGAAGCACCAGAACUGCAGAACAGAAAUAUAAGGCGGAAGUGCAGCAGCAAAGAGCUUAAUCAAUCCAUUUUUAUUGAGUCCACUGAAAUUUCAUGGGACACUGAUUCAAGCAAGACAAAGGCUACAUUACGG
rnacentral:misc_RNA from 1 species